rnacentral:rRNA from 1 species
GAGCUCUCCCAUAUGGUCGACCUGCAGGCGGCCGCACUAGUGAUUGCCAUGCGAGUCGAGAGGUUUCUGACCUCGGCGUACUGCUCAGUAACACGUGGACAAUCUGCCCUGGAGAGGAGGAUAUCCCCGGGAAACUGGGAUUAAUACUCCAUAGUUCGUCUUAACUGGAAUGUUAUUCGAACGAAAGAUCCGUCGCUCCAGGAUGAGUCUGCGGCCGAUUAGGUAGUUGUUGGGGUAACGGCCCAACAAGCCUUUCAUCGGUACGGGUUGUGGGAGCAAGAGCCCGGAGAUGGAUUCUGAGACACGAAUCCAGGCCCUACGGGGCGCAGCAGGCGCGAAAACUUUACCAUGCGGGCAACCGUGAUAAGGAAACCCCGAGUGCCAGCACAGGCUGGCUGUCCGCCAGUUUAAAUAACUGGUGAAGAAAGGGCCGGGCAAGACCGGUGCCAGCCGCCGCGGUAAUACCGGCGGCUCGAGUGGUGGCCGCUAUUACUGGGCUUAAAGGGUCCGUAGCUUGAUAACUGGGUCCCUUGAGAAAUCCGCCAGCUUAACUGGCGGGCGUUCAGGGGAAACUUGUUUUCUAGGGACCGGGAGAGGUGAGGGGUACUGCCGGGGUAGGAGUGAAAUCCUGUAAUCCCGGUGGGACCACCUAUGGCGAAGGCAUCUCACCAGAACGGGUCCGACAGUGAGGGACGAAAGCUGGGGGAGCAAACCGGAUUAGAUACCCGGGUAGUCCCAGCUGUAAACUAUGUGCGUUAGGUGUGUCAGUGACCACGUGUCACUGAGGUGCCGANNNGAAACCGUGAAACGCACCGCCUGGGGAGUACGGUCGCAAGGCUGAAACUUAAAGGAAUUGGCGG